UUGAAAUGACGUGCUUGCACUGAAUUUCAACAAUGAAGCGAGCUGGCGAACUGGUGAGUAACACGUGGGAAAUCUGCCCAGAAGCAGGGGAUAACACUUGGAAACAGGUGCUAAUACCGUAUAACAACAAAAUCCGCAUGGAUUUUGUUUGAAAGGUGGCUUCGGCUAUCACUUCUGGAUGAUCCCGCGGCGUAUUAGUUAGUUGGUGAGGUAAAGGCCCACCAAGACGAUGAUACGUAGCCGACCUGAGAGGGUAAUCGGCCACAUUGGGACUGAGACACGGCCCAAACUCCUACGGGAGGCAGCAGUAGGGAAUCUUCCACAAUGGACGAAAGUCUGAUGGAGCAAUGCCGCGUGAGUGAAGAAGGGUUUCGGCUCGUAAAACUCUGUUGUUAAAGAAGAACACCUUUGAGAGUAACUGUUCAAGGGUUGACGGUAUUUAACCAGAAAGCCACGGCUAACUACGUGCCAGCAGCCGCGGUAAUACGUAGGUGGCAAGCGUUGUCCGGAUUUAUUGGGCGUAAAGCGAGCGCAGGCGGUUUUUUAAGUCUGAUGUGAAAGCCUUCGGCUUAACCGGAGAAGUGCAUCGGAAACUGGGAGACUUGAGUGCANAAGAGGACAGUGGAACUCCAUGUGUAGCGGUGGAAUGCGUAGAUAUAUGGAAGAACACCAGUGGCGAA
rnacentral:rRNA from 2 species